rnacentral:tRNA from 1 species
UUGGUGCAGUGGUUAAGCACUUAGCUGCUAACCAAAAUGUCGAUGGUUCAAAUCCAUCA